CAUAGCCUGGCGAAAAUGCUAGGUUUAUUCUGCUCAGUGAAUUUAACAGCCGCAGUAAUCUGACUGUGCUAAGGUAGCAUAAUAAAUUGGCCUUUAAUUAGGGUCUGGAAUGAAAGGAAUAUAUAUAGGCUGUCUCUUGUGCAUUUAACUAACUUACUCAUAAGGUGAAAAUUCCUUUAAUAUUAGAAAGACGAGAAGACCCUUAGAAUUUUUAUUAUUUUUGUUGGGGCGACAAGUAAUCAGUAAACAUUACAAUUUUAAAUACAAGACUAGUGAGACUAAAUUACCUGAGGGAUAACAGCAUAAUAGUAUGAUUGUGACCUCGAUGUUGGACUAGGGAAAAUAGGCUAGCAGUCUAUUAAGUUCUGUUCGAACCCUACGUGAU
rnacentral:rRNA from 1 species